rnacentral:rRNA from 3 species
GACAGAGGGGGCAAGCGUUGCUCGGAAUUACUGGGCGUAAAGGGCGCGUAGGCGGAAUGGCAAGUCGGUCGUGAAAUCCUUCGGCUCAACCGAAGAACGUCGAUCGAAACUGCCGUUCUUGAGGAUUGCAGAGGAGACUGGAAUUCCCGGUGUAGCGGUGAAAUGUGUAGAGAUCGGGAGGAACACCGGUGGCGAAGGCGGGUCUCUGGGCAAUUCCUGACGCUGAGGCGCGAAAGCGUGGGGAGCAAACGGG